rnacentral:rRNA from 1 species
CCUACGGGUGGCAGCAGUGAGGAAUAUUGGUCAAUGGCCGGGAGGCUGAACCAGCCAAGUCGCGUGAGGGAAGACGGCCCUACGGGUUGUAAACCUCUUUUGUCAGGGAGCAAGGUGCAGGUCGGGACCUGCUGUGAGAGUACCUGAAGAAAAAGCAUCGGCUAACUCCGUGCCAGCAGCCGCGGUAAUACGGAGGAUGCGAGCGUUAUCCGGAUUUAUUGUGUUUAAAGGGUGCGCAGGCGGAGGCACAAGUCAGCGGUAAAAUCGCGGGGCUCAACCCCGCUCCGCCGUUGAAACUGUGGCCCUUGAGUGGGCGAGAAGUAUGCGGCAUGCGUGGUGUAGCGGUGAAAUGCAUAGAUAUCACGCAGAACUCCGAUUGCGAAGGCAGUAUACCGGCGCCCGACUGACGCUGAAGCACGAAAGCGUGGGUAUCGAACAGGAUUAGAUACACCUGUAGUC